CAGCAGCCGCGGGAAUACGUAGGGUGCGAGCGUUAAUCGGAAUUACUGGGCGUAAAGCGUGCGCAGGCGGUUAUAUAAGACAGAUGUGAAAUCCCCGGGCUCAACCUGGGACCUGCGUUUGUGACUGUAUAGCUAGAGUACGGUAGAGGGGGAUGGAAUUCCGCGUGUAGCAGUGAAAUGCGUAGAUAUGCGGAGGAACACCGAUGGCGGAGGCAAUCCCCUGGACCUGUACUGACGCUCAUGCACGAAAGCGUGGGGAGCAAACAGGAUUAGAUACCCCCGUAGUCCCUGUCUCUUAUAC
rnacentral:rRNA from 1 species